GCGGACGUGGCGGAACUGGUAGACGCACUGGAUUUAGGUUCCAGCGCCGCAAGGCGUGCGGGUUCGAGUCCCGCCGUCCGCACCA
rnacentral:tRNA from 2 species